AUUGAACGCUGGCGGCAUGCUUUACACAUGCAAGUCGAACGGUAACAGGGUGCUUGCACCGCUGACGAGUGGCGAACGGGUGAGUAAUGCGUCGGAACGUGCCGAGUAGUGGGGGAUAACGCAGCGAAAGUUUUGCUAAUACCGCAUACGUACUGAGGUAGAAAGUGGGGGACCUUCGGGCCUCACGCUAUUCGAGCGGCCGACGUCUGAUUAGCUAGUAGGUGAGGUAAAGGCUCACCUAGGCGACGAUCAGUAGCGGGUCUGAGAGGAUGAUCCGCCACACUGGGACUGAGACACGGCCCAGACUCCUACGGGAGGCAGUAGUGGGGAAUUUUGGACAAUGGGCGAAAGCCUGAUCCAGCCAUGCCGCGUGUCUGAAGAAGGCCUUCGGGUUGUAAAGGACUUUUGUCAGGGAGGAAAUCCCUAGUGCUAAUAACACUGGGGGAUGACAGUACCUGAAGAAUAAGCACCGGCUAACUACGUGCCAGCCGCCGCGGUAA
rnacentral:rRNA from 1 species